AAUGAUAGUCAAGCAGGAAUACCCUUAUUUAAAUACUGAAACGUCUUUAAUGCGAAGGGCUGUUCUUCAAAAUAGAAUGGCCUUAGAUAUUCUUACAGCAUCCCAAGGUGGCACGUGUGCAAUCAUUCAGACUGAAUGCUGUGUUUUUAUACGUGAUGAGUCUUCCAAUGCGUCAUCUCUGCUAAAGCACAUGAAGAAGCAAGUGGAUGCCUUAAGUGAUCCUACACCCAGUUUGAUUUGCUUGAUUGGUUCCCUUUCAGUACCUGUUCCCUUUUUCAAUCUGGAUUGCAAUUCCUAUUUCUAUUACUUAUUGGAAUCCUUGUACUGGUCAUAAUAUUCAAACUAAUUGUUGUUUUCUUUACUCAGUGUUGUAAGAGUAGCAUACAAACUAAAGUAAUGAUUGCUCCAUGGCUUAAAAUGGUCGAUCUAUCUUAUAAUCCUGGACAAAUUUCCUUUUCUGAUAAAAACUAUGCCUAAGAACUCAUUUUAAACUAAUGUUUUCAAAUAAGUUGAAUUAUUAUUGUUACUGUACUUGUUCUAUGAUCAUAUACAAUGUAACUGCAAAGUGUCAUAGAAAAGCACAUAUACAAUGUUUGUGAAACAAUCUAAAAUUAAUUGGAAAUUACAUGACAUAUGAAAUGCUUCCUCUCUUAAUACAUAUAUCUCCAUGCUUGUCCACUAUUUCCCCCCAACGUGGACGACUAGGCAAAUAAAUGAGAUAAAACCCUAGCGCCGAGGGACAUGAUGGACCCAGGGCAGGCAGCAACCACCCUGGCGCCAAGGGACAAUAUUUUGAUCAUCAAUGCUUUCUAUCGAAAGAUUAGAGAUCAAAAGGGGGAAAUGACAAAUAAAAAUGGCAAGCAAUAGCAUAUAUUGGAGAAUAUGAGGAAGCCAUCUGGUGUAAACCUAAUUCGGCCUGACCUUUUCUUUCCAAAAGGGCUUGACUGAGGCCGUUGAGCAUGCAUUGUAUAUCUGCUUUAGAUAUUCUCUAUGGCAAGAACAAAGGCCCUUGAGAUAAAGGUGCAACUUCCCUCCCCCUCCCAAUGUUGGCAUUUCUUUAAGGAUUAAGCAUCUUUCCUUAGCCUAGGAACUGAUUGCUGAGCUCACCUGUGACCACCCAGCUCAAGACAAUAGACUUGCCUCCUGCUACGCCCUCCAAGAGAGCAGACCCACUACCUUCUGUGUCCAUCAAGCGCUGUGUUGACAGGGCAAUCUUGUGACUAUUGUGGGAGGGACAUUUCAAUCAUAUGUGAAACAUCCUGUUUGGGGGUAUAUAAUCACUCUGUAUACCUCACUUCCUUGGUGCCCUGUCUUCCUUUGGGAAGAAAGGCCCUGGGCCAUGGUCCUCAGAUUUCAGCUCAGAAUAAACUCACCCAAAUUUUCAUUUAUAAA
rnacentral:lncRNA from 1 species